CAAGUCGAGGGGCAGCAUGAACUUAGCUUGCUAAGUUUGAUGGCGACCGGCGCACGGGUGAGUAACACGUAUCCAACCUUCCCGCAACUGGGGAAUAACCUUGCGAAAGUAAGACUAAUACCCCAUGGUCUCCACGGAUGGCAUCUGAAAUGGAGUAAAGGUUUCGGCCGGUUGCGGAUGGGGAUGCGUCCGAUUAGCUUGACGGCGGGGUAACGGCCCACCGUGGCAUCGAUCGGUAGGGGUUCUGAGAGGAAGGUCCCCACAUUGGAACUGAGACACGGUCCAAACUCC
rnacentral:rRNA from 1 species